GGUUUUUUGUUUUAAAGCAGCUGUUUAGCUACCUGGUGUGAUAUUUUGGUGUUUCACACACACUCUCCUGGGGAUUCAGUGAAGUAAUGGCAAGUGGGGACAGCUAACUGCCUUUCUUUUGAGCUCUACGCAAAAGGUUCAACAGAAAAAGAGGGACAUUUCAGACCUGAAUAGAAAAUGAAGCAUUCACGGGCAGUACUGAACAGAUCUUGAAGAAAAAGGCAAAAAGUGACAAUAACCAUCGUUUUCCAACUUUAUCUGUUUGAGUCAUGAGCAAGAUGUGGUCAAACAUCUUGACUGACCACUUUGUAUAGAACCCAGAACAACCAGCUCAGGGAUGGAACCACUCAUGGGGCUAUCAAUCACUAAUCAAGAAAAUGCCUCAUAAGCGUGCUUACAUUCUGAUCUUAUGAAGAUAUUUUCUAAAUUGACGUCCCUUACUCUCAGAUGACUUCAGUUUGUGUCAAGUUGACAAAAAACCA